AUGCUAGAUGAAUUUGGAGGACUUACUGAGGCCUGGGUUCAAAUUGAGGGGAUUCCUCCAAAGUGGUGUGCAUGGAAGGUGCUUGCCCAGAUUACAGCUUGCUUUGGGAUCCUGGUAGAUGUGGACUGGAAUGGUAUAUUUAAGAGCUUCUAUGAGAAUAUCAGAGUGAAAGUGGCUUGUAGAGACCCCAGGAAAAUUCCAUUUGAGAGAUUAGUUGAAAUGAAAAGGAAGUUAUACAUUCUGUUCUUCACUGUUGAAGGGUUUGAACAAAUGGGAGAGGACUCUGAUGGAGAUGAUCUGGACCCAGAUUUGGAUAAUAUGGAGAAAGAGGAUGAAGAAAACAAUGAAGACAUGUCUAACAAGGAUAAAUCUCAAGGAGAAGACAUGGGAGAACCUAUUGAUGAGCUGGACAAGGCAAAUUUCCCUUCCAAAAAUACUCUGGCUGCAAAUUCCAGUCAGUCAAACUCACAGAAAGAUGCUUCUGCAGUGGAAUUCCACCCUCCCCACAUGCUGGAUACAAUUCAUGAGGAUUUUGUGGAAGAAAUUAGGAGCAAAACCCCUGAGAAGAAUAAGGAAGCAGAUAAUGAAAAAACCACUCCUGCAAAACCAUUUCCUUUUGAAAGAUCUGAUUCCAUGUCAGCACAUCUGGAAUAUUGCUCUGAACAACUAAGUAGGUUUGAAAUGGUUGAGACUGAUGAAGAGGAGGAAGAUUUGGUGGAAGAGAUGCAGUGUCUCCCUGAGGAUUUAGCUCUGGCAAUGGGAUCUGUUAAGAGAUCUCUACUGGAAACUCUGGAUAGUGUGGAAUCGGUGCAGAAGAAAAAACGAAGUGUAAAAAAUUCUCCUGUCUGGGGGCCAGUGCUCACAAGCAAACCAAUAACUAGGAAUCAUGGAGACAUUAAGAUCAUGGACAAAGCAGCUGCAUAUAUGAAGAUGACGAAUUUGGAAAUUCCCACUACUUUCAAAGGGGCAGAAAUGGAGAAACGUGAACUGCAUUCUUGCAAAACUAAGCUGUUAUUUGCACCAGUGGAAGGUUCUCUACGACGAUGCUCAAGCAACCCUGCUGCAAAGGUGCAUUCUUCUGUUGGACAAGCGACGUGGAGAACUGAUGCGGAUCGCCUGGAAGUGAGGUGUGGGAGGGGAGCAUGA
rnacentral:rRNA from 1 species